rnacentral:tRNA from 2 species
GGCGCGGUGGCAGAGUGGUGAUGCAGAGGACUGCAAAUCCUUGUAUGCGGGUUCGAUUCCCGCCCGUGCCUCCA